CCUGCAAAAGAACAAGAACAACAACCCCAAGAACCAACGGUGCAAGAAGAAUCAGAACAAGAAGCACCUGUUAAUGUACCUCUGGAACAGCCCUGUGAAGAACCAACAGAGCAACAAUCCAAAUAAGAAGCACAUGUUGAUGUCUACCCUCCAGAACCCAACAAGCAGGGUGUUACGGGGUCUAUUACAAGCUCUGUUAUUGAACAAUUUUUCAAGGAUGCCGAUGUCUAUCCAGUUUCUGAUGAAGAACAAUCCAAAGAACCACCGGUGGCACGAUAAUCAUAAAAAGAAACUCUAAUCUUGUCAUCAUUUGACAGUGCUGCUCAACCGAGGGAAAGGGAAGAUGAAAGGCCUUCCUUUAGCCUUGGGAUAAGUCCACCAGCAUCUCAACCAACUCAGCCCUCUCAAGAGAGUGAUUCACA